UUACAUCAUUGACGAGUAUAGGAGG
rnacentral:piRNA from 1 species